rnacentral:lncRNA from 1 species
CGGAAGACAAGAAGGAAGGAAGGAAGGAGGGAGGGAGGGAGGGAGGGUUGGGUAAAGAGCAGCCCCAGUCCAACUCAGGUGAUCGCAGGGAACAUGGGCCCCAGCGUGGAUCGCUCAGUGACUCACAGGGUCACUAUCUCCAACCGCCGUAGAUACUCAGGGAGACAGGAAGGAAGCUGUGUGGGUCACUAUCUCCAACCGCCGUAGAUACUCAGGGAGACAGGAAGGAAGCUCAGGGAGAGAAGGGCGCACGGGGAGGACCCCAGAACCUCCGAGAUGUGGCCCUGAAAGGGGAGCGCUGUACACUCUUAACAGCUCCCACCUUUAGACCAGGAAUGGCAAACCUUUCAGAGCUCUCAUGGAUGACGGACGGACAGACAGCUGCUGCGCGAGCUCUAGACCAUCCGACAGAAUACGGCAUUAGCGAGCAUACCAACGACUGGGCGGUGUCACAUGUUAAGAAUUACCCAGAUUCCCCACAUCGUGUCUACGGACUGGAGCUAAAUACACAGCCGGUGUAUACCACAAGCUGCAUCCCUGGGUUUCCAGGGCUCCUGCUCCUCCCGAUGCCACCCAACCUGGCAGCCUUCACACCCGCUGAGCCGAGGCAGGUGCCAUGUCCUCAAAGCUCCGGCACUGGGAGCAAAGAAACUUUUCUUCAUGCAGCCGCCCAGCUUCCGGUACUGCAUAAUAAACUGCCGCACAGGACGAGAGUGAAUGACUGUGCACUUCGUAUUUUACACAAAUCUCGACCGAUCCUCCCUGUAACUCUGGAACCGUAAGUCCCUGCGUCUGUAAUGCGGAUGGAUGCUGCCCAGGGACCCAGUGCCACUUUGUACCCCCUCACUCACGCGUGAGGCUGUCGACCCACGCUUCACCAACACCGUGGCAUCAAAGGACAUGACCCUGCCGGCCCGAAGGGAGACAGACAGGAUCUUGCAAGCCUUAAUCCGCAUAUCUACUUUUGUGCGUGAAAUUAAGCAAUGUUUCAUAUGCUGACCUGUGACUGGUGCUCCUGCUCCUGUGAACUAUCGUCACAUCCACGUUGCCCAUUCUCCCCUUGGGUUGUUGGUCUUUGGCUUUGAUUGGUGGGCAUUGCAUAAAAAGCGGAAGCUUCGUGUUAGGAGUUGUGUUUUCCUCGGGUUGCCGUCUGACUUGGACGCUGUGUUCAUGUCAUAAUGGUAAAAUUCAAUUUCGUACCUGCUUAUAUGGAAUUUCUGAAAAAUAAAAAAGAAAUGAAUGUUUAUCUCAGCUCUACCUCCACAGCGAAGAUAUGUCUAGUGGUAACAGUCUCAUUUUCUUUCUAGUAUUCAUUCUAAAAGAAUUACCCAUAAAUACUUCAAUGAAUGUCGAUAAAUAUGCAAACAUAUACACACAUUAGAAAUACACAUCAGUUACAAAUUUCCAAGUCUGUGGUCUAAGAUAUGUUAAAAUAUACAAGUAUUUUUCUCUAAAACUGCUUAAAUCUAUUUAAAACCCUGUUUCUCCAGUUAAGGGAUGAAAAAAAAAGUCAAUUCUGCAC